rnacentral:rRNA from 1 species
CACUCUGGGAUAAGCCUGGGAAACUGGGUCUAAUACUGGAUAUGACCGAUCUCCGCAUGGAGUGUUGGUGGAAAGUUUUUGUGGUGGGGGAUGGACUCGCGGCCUAUCAGCUUGUUGGUGGGGUAAUGGCCUACCAAGGCGACGACGGGUAGCCGGCCUGAGAGGGCGACCGGCCACACUGGGACUGAGACACGGCCCAGACUCCUACGGGAGGCAGCAGUGGGGAAUAUUGCACAAUGGGCGAAAGCCUGAUGCAGCGACGCCGCGUGAGGGAUGACGGCCUUCGGGUUGUAAACCUCUUUCACCAGGGACGAAGCUAACGUGACGGUACCUGGAGAAGAAGCACCGGCUAACUACGUGCCAGCAGCCGCGGUAAUACGUAGGGUGCGAGCGUUGUCCGGAAUUAUUGGGCGUAAAGAGCUUGUAGGCGGUUUGUCGCGUCUGCUGUGNAAAGACCGGGGCUUAACUCCGGUUCUGCAGUGGGUACGGGCAGACUAGAGUGUGGUAGGGGAGACUGGAAUUCCUGGUGUAGCGGUGAAAUGCGCAGAUAUCAGGAGGAACACCGAUGGCGAAGGCAGGUCUCUGGGCCAUUACUGACGCUGAGAAGCGAAAGCAUGGGGAGCGAACAGGAUUAGAUACCCUGGUAGUCCAUGCCGUAAACGUUGGGCGCUAGGUGUGGGACUCAUUCCACGAGUUCCGUGCCGCAGCUAACGCAUUAAGCGCCCCGCCUGGGGAGUACGGCCGCAAGGCUAAAACUCAAAGGAAUUGACGGGGGCCCGCACAAGCGGCGGAGCAUGCGGAUUAAUUCGAUGCAACGCGAAGAACCUUACCAAGGCUUGACAUACACCGGAAUCAUGCAGAGAUGUGUGCGUCUUCGGACUGGUGUACAGGUGGUGCAUGGUUGUCGUCAGCUCGUGUCGUGAGAUGUUGGGGUUAAGUCCCGCAACGAGCGCAACCCUCGUUCCAUGUUGCCAGCACGUAAAGGUGGGGACUCAUGGGAGACUGCCGGGGUCAACUCGGAGGAAGGUGGGGAUGACGUCAAAUCAUCAUGCCCCUUAUGUCUUGGGCUUCACGCAUGCUACAAUGGCCGGUACAGAGGGUUGCGAAACCGUGAGGUGGAGCUAAUCCCAAAAAACCGGUCUCAGUUCGGAUUGGGGUCUGCAACUCGACCCCAUGAAGUCGGAGUCG